AUUGAACGCUGGCGGCAUGCCUUACACAUGCAAGUCGAACGGCAGCACGGGAGCAAUCCUGGUGGCGAGUGGCGAACGGGUGAGUAAUAUAUCGGAACGUGCCCAGUCGUGGGGAUAACGUAGCGAAAGCUACGCUAAUACCGCAUACGAUCUACGGAUGAAAGCGGGGGAUCGCAAGACCUCGCGCGAUUGGAGCGGCCGAUAUCAGAUUAGGUAGUUGGUGAGGUAAAGGCUCACCAAGCCGACGAUCUGUAGCUGGUCUGAGAGGACGACCAGCCACACUGGGACUGAGACACGGCCCAGACUCCUACGGGAGGCAGCAGUGGGGAAUUUUGGACAAUGGGCGCAAGCCUGAUCCAGCAAUGCCGCGUGCAGGAUGAAGGCCUCGGUUGUAACUAGCUUUGUUACGGUACGAAACGGUA
rnacentral:rRNA from 1 species